AAAAACAUGUCUGCAUGAAUGAAGUGUGCAGUCUGGCCUGCCCCCUGAAAAUUUAAAGGGCCGCGGUAUCUGAACCGUGCUAAGGUAGCAUAAUCAAUAGUCUUUUAAUUGAGGUCUAGUAUGAAUGGUCGGACAGGAGGUAAGCUGUCUUAGUUGUAUGCGUUGAAUUUUACUUUUAAGUGAAAAGGCUUAGAUUGGAUGAUGGGACGAUAAGACCCUAUAAAGCUUUAUAUAUCAGCUACUGGUAGGUGAGGAUUAAGGUGUUUCAUUCUGGCUGGUUGAUAUGUUUCGUUGGGGCGACGGAAAUAUAAAAUUUUGUAACUGUUUUCAUUAGAAAAAUAUUUAUUUUUAGAUAAUUUGAUCCUUUUUAUAGAUUAAGAGAGUAAAGUUACUUUAGGGAUAACAGCGUAAUUCUUCUUGAGAGUCCAUAUCGACGGAAGUAGUUGCGACCUCGAUGUUGAAUUAAGGUGUCGUCAAGGUGUAGCAGUUUUGAUGGUAGGUCUGUUCGACCUUUAAAGCCUU
rnacentral:rRNA from 1 species